rnacentral:rRNA from 1 species
AGCUGGUGGAUCCUGCCAGUAGUUAUAUGCUCGUCUUCAAGAUUAAGCCAUGCAUGUCUAAGUGUAAACCACUGGUGAACUGCGAAUGGCUCAUUAUACCAGUUAUAAUUUAUUUGGUGGUAUGGACUACUCGGAUACCCGUAGUAACUCUGUGGCUAAUACGUGCGAAUUUCCCCAACUCAUCCGUCAAGGAGAUUAGGAGGGGCGUAUUUAUUAGUUAUAAACGCUAG